UCUGAGAAUCGGGUUGCAGGAGGUGAGGGAAUUAAUAUAUGUGGCACAUGUUUCAUCUGGGAGAAGAAAGGGGAGCCAUGGCGGAGAAGGAGAAGGAGAAGGCUGGUGGCGAGAGGUGGAAGGCAGCUAUUGUCAAUCUAUCAGAGAUGAGUGCGAACUUAGACUCCCUGCAGAAGAUCCUGGCAAAGAAGGCCGUGUUCGUCGACGAUGACACCUUCUCCAAGGCUUCCCUUAUUGCCGAACAGGCCAGAAACAUCAAGGCUCUAGAACAGAGGGUAGGGACGUUGGAACGAGAAUUAGAUGCUUCAAUCGCAGCAGCAGCUCGUGCUCGUUCGGAGAAACGACAAGCUGAGGCAGCACAGCGAGCUGCUGAACUGCGUGCCCAGGAUGUUGCUAAAGAACUGGAGAACACUACAAAAGUGUUUGAGCUACAUAUGGAGGAGUUGCGUAGAAAGCAAGAGGAGAUUUCUAAGAAAGAUGGUGAAAUCAAAGUAUUGGAGGCUAUAAUACAAACACUCAGUAGAAAUGGCUCAACUGCCUCAGAAGAUUAAGCAGCAGAUAUGUUUAUCUGUUUUAGCUUGUGGAGCUGCCUUAGCAACCAUCAAGUGUCGCCGGAGGUUAUGCUAUGCUGUUAAACCAGAUGGAGAGCUUCAUCAAGCUCGAAUAUUCAUCAUGGGCAUCCAAGCUUCAGGAAUAUGAGCAAAUCUACCCUCUGUGAAUUUGUUUCUUUAGGUUGCUAUUCACAGCAUAAUCAUAAAAAAAGAUAUGCUACUCUUUGUAACCCAAAUUGGACAAUCUAUUUUUAAUAUAUAAGCCUGAAACAUAAUUGAUGUUAUCAA